UAGUAGUCAGCCUUCUUCAACAGCAGCCCCAAUAGCGAUAUCGGCAAAAGUAGCCCCAGCAACCCGAGGAGUACAUUCAGCAACAGUAUUAGCAGUAGCAAUAGCCCCAAUAAUAGUAUUAGUAGCAGUAGGUUCAAUCUCAAUAGCAGCCCUAGCAGUAGCCUAAGCAGUAGUUGUAUUAGCAUCAAUCAUAUUAGCAAUAACCAGAUCAGUCGUAACAUACAUAACCA
rnacentral:lncRNA from 1 species